CACUUUUUAAUUUCAUGUAUGUAUUUAAUAGAAUCUUCCAGUAAACAAUAAAUGAUAGUGAUUGGUAAGUGAUAAAUGGCCAUGUAUGCUGUCCAUCAGCUUCAAAGCACUUCAAGUUCAGACUAAAACCAAAUCUCAUUUUUGCAUUAAAAACGUCAAUUGCUUUCAGAAAUUCAUUGAUAAGAUAGAUAGAAAUGUUGUGGAGGCAGAUGCCGCCUUGUUUUUUGGCCACCUGAUCCAUUACCAGCCUUGGAUCACCUUGCAUAAACUCUCAAUGUUACAACAGGUUGGGGGUUUUUUUAGCCCAACAAUUUCCAAUAAGGCUUUCAAUUAAAAUCCAUAAGGAAUUUUCUUGCCUAUUAAAUGUUUAUGAAGUAAAUGAAGAUGAAAAGUAGUCAGACACAGCAAUAAUAAAUAAUACCAGACUUUACAGAGUUUAAUUAAACUCUACUCAGGCUAUAGCUAAUAGUGAUCAGAUAAAUACAGGAAGGAUGACACUGAAGUAAGUUUAACUCCUACAGCUAGACUUCUUAGAAACAGCAGGCACGAAAUUAGGCCAAAUAUAUUAAAGCAGUGCUUAGCCUUUUAUUCAAUACAGGAAGAAGAGGAAAAACCCCCGAACUAUCCUGUGCAAUAUUAUCAUAAUUGCUUUCUUUUACAACCAACUAAAUGAAUCCUGAAAAGUUAAACCAAGUUUUACUGUAGUAGUUGUUGUUCUCCCAUUAUUUUCUGUCUGUGUGAAUUAGUGUCUGAUUUGACAGCUCAUUUUCCAGUAUCUGACAGUGGCGGGAAUGCUGCGUUGAAGGACGGUACUUAAAAAGUCUGUUAGGAGAAAAUGAAUCAAUCAUUAAUACAUAGAACACACCCUCCUAUUUCUGACAGGCUGUGGAAAAACUCUGGAACUAACAGCGACUCACUGGUUAAGAAAAGGGAGUCCCAACAGCAACAGUUGGAAAAUAAAACUGAAGGAAAAAGAACUGAACAUAGUUUUUGAUAGGGGAUGGGAACUGAACACUAGCAAUACUUGUGUUUACAUAGAGGCUGCAGAGUCUUUUGUUUUAUGUCGUAUAAUUUUAACUCCUUAUUUCAGCAGGUUUACAUGGCUUUUUUUUUUUUAAUACAAAAUGAGUAGAUUUUUUUUUUUUGCAUGAGACCAAAUGUUUAUUAAGUUUUGCUAUUUUAUGGUAUGAUUUGAUUAUAGUAAUUCCGUUGUUAACCACCACCUGUUGCUCCACUUCUACAGAUUUUUCAAGCAGAGUUCAGGUACAAGAGUAUUUUUAUCUCCGUGAGGGUGUGAGUCAGAUCUUUCUGUUCUGCCUCUCAGCUGCUAAUCUAUGGUUCAUUCCCCGCGCCAGCCCUCUGCCCUUCCAUCUUCCCCUCCCAUUUGGAGGAGGAAUGUGCCAAGGAGGAGAAAGGACAGGCCACUGGCUGCACUGCCUUCUUCCUCUACCAUGUCCCUGGCUGCCUCUCCCCACACUGGUGCUGUCACAGCCCUGUGUGAGCCAAAGGCAGUGCCACCAGACAGAUGUCUUGCAGCUCCUGCUACCUUCUCCACUGUCACUGCCUGAAGCCAUGCCUGCCUGCCUGCCUGCUGCAGCCCCAUCCUCUUGGGACACCUCAGGUGAGUCCAGGGAGAGCUGGUACAGGCUUGCUGCUGUCUCCUCACCUCUUCUUUAGCACCACUAUGCCUAUGCAAAAAAAA
ensembl:lncRNA